AGUGAACGCUGGCGGUAGGCCUAACACAUGCAAGUCGAACGGCAGCACAGUAAGAGCUUGCUCUUACGGGUGGCGAGUGGCGGACGGGUGAGGAAUACAUCGGAAUCUACUUUUUCGUGGGGGAUAACGUAGGGAAACUUACGCUAAUACCGCAUACGACCUACGGGUGAAAGCAUGGGAUCUUCGGACCUUGCGCGAUUGAAUGAGCCGAUGUCGGAUUAGCUAGUUGGCGGGGUAAAGGCCCACCAAGGCGACGAUCCGUAGCUGGUCUGAGAGGAUGAUCAGCCACACUGGAACUGAGACACGGUCCAGACUCCUACGGGAGGCAGCAGUGGGGAAUAUUGGACAAUGGGCGAAAGCCUGAUCCAGCCAUACCGCGUGUGUGAAGAAGGCCUUCGGGUUGUAAAGCACUUUUGUUGGGAAAGAAAAGCAGCAGGUUAAUACCCCGCUGUUCUGACGGUACCCAAAGAAUAAGCACCGGCUAACUUCGUG
rnacentral:rRNA from 1 species